rnacentral:rRNA from 1 species
CAGCCGCCGCGGGAAAACGGAGGGGGCUAGCGUUGUUCGGAAUUACUGGGCGUAAAGCGCACGUAGGCGGCUUGGUAAGUUAGAGGUGAAAGCCCGGAGCUCAACUCCGGAAUUGCCUUUAAGACUGCCGAGCUAGUAGGUGAGAGAGGUAAGUGGAAUUCCGAGUGUAGAGGUGAAAUUCGUAGAUAUUCGGAAGAACACCAGUGGCGAAGGCGGCUUACUGGCUCAUACUGGACGCUGAGGUGCGAAAGCGUGGGGAGCAAACAGGAUUAGAUACCCGGGUAGUCCCUGUCUCUUAUAC